CAAUAUCCCAUAAUUUUUGGGCCAUUUUAUGAAUACAAAAGCAUUAUACAAGUACAUUUAUUUUUCUCUGAUUCAUGUAAUUACUCACUAACCAGCAUGCUUUGCAUAUAUGUGAAGUCUAAACUUCAUUUUGUAGUUGGCAGCUAAGACUCUGCAUUACGGUCCUUGUCCUUCCAGACUGCUGAUGCGUUUCCUGUGCAGAAUGCCAAGUCGACCCAGAACAGCAGGAGCAGCAUCUCGCCCCCUCCGCCACGGCCCCGCCUCCUUCCACAACCCCCAUCUCCAUGAGACGUCCAUGAAGAGCAGAGGAUAAAGAAGACAGUUGAUGCCUGGAUCAAUACACUCAGCAAGGAGAUUCAGGAUGAGGAUUGUGGAGAGGAGCGAUGCUGCAGUCUCUAAAGUGGUGCAGCAGGGCCAGGGGAGCAGGAGCGGACGUGUGGCUGGUCCGAGAGGAAGAGGGGGAAGUGAAACCUCUGCAGCAGAUAAGAAAACCUCUCUGAGAGGCUCAGUUAGAGCGCAAGCAGCAAACACACUGGCACACUGCAAACAACCCGCUCUGUCUGUC